GACGUAGGAUGCAAGCGUUGUCCGGAAUUAUUGGGCGUAAAGAGUUCGUAGGCGGUUAUUUAAGUCUGGUGUUAAAUACCAGGGCUCAACCCUGGCAUGGCAUUGGAAACUGGAUAGCUAGAGUACGGUAGAGGUCUCGGGAAUUCCAGGUGUAGCGGUGAAAUGCGUAGAUAUCAGGAGGAACACCGGUGGCGAAGGCGGGUCUCUGGGCCGAAAUUGACGCUGAGGAGCGAAAGCGUGGGGAGCAAACAGG
rnacentral:rRNA from 1 species